ACACAUGCAAGUCGAACGGGGUCAUUAAGGAAAAUCCUUCGGGAUUCGGAAUUCUUGACCUAGUGGCGGACGGGUGAGUAACGCGUGAGCAAUCUGCCUUUGGAUGGGGGAUAACAGCCGGAAACGACUGCUAAUACCGCAUAAUGCAGCAGGACCGCAUGAUUUUGCUGCCAAAGAUUUAUCGUCCAAAGAUGAGCUCGCGUCUGAUUAGCCAGUUGGCGGGGUAACGGCCCACCAAAGCGACGAUCAGUAGCCGGACUGAGAGGUUGAACGGCCACAUUGGGACUGAGACACGGCCCAGACUCCUACGGGAGGCAGCAGUGGGGAAUAUUGCGCAAUGGGGGAAACCCUGACGCAGCAACGCCGCGUGAGUGAAGAAGGCCUUCGGGUUGUAAAGCUCUUUAAUCAGGGACGAAGAAUGACGGUACCUGAAGAAUAAGCUCCGGCUAACUACGUGCCAGCAGCCGCGGUAAUACGUAGGGAGCAAGCGUUAUCCGGAUUUACUGGGUGUAAAGGGCGUGUAAGCGGGCCUGCAAGUCAGAAGUGAAAUCUGGGGGCUUAACCCCCAAACUGCUUUUGAAACUGUGGGUCUUGAGUGAUGGAGAGG
rnacentral:rRNA from 1 species